ACUCAGUCACCAGUUGCAGCCUGCUCCUGAGAAAGGCAUGACUUUAGAUGAGGAAGUCUCUUUCGCUGCGUCCAAUUGGGAAGGAGGUGACAGCUGUAGGCUGUUGCUCACCACUCUCCCUUCAGCUGAGUCUCACUUUGCCACCCCACCCAGGCUGGAGUGAAGUGGCGUGAUCUUGGCUCACUGCAACCUCCGCCUCCAGGGUUCAAGCGAUUCAACUGCCUCAGCCUCCUGUAGCUGGGAUUACAGGUGUGCGCCGCCAUGCCUGGCUAACUAUUUUGUAUUUUUAGUAGAGACCAGAUUUCACCACGUUGGCCAGUCUGGUCUUGAACUCCUGACCUUGUGAUCCACCCACCUUGGCCUCCCAAAGUGCUGGGAUUACAGGCAUGAGCCACUGCACCCAGCCUUUUUGUCCCUUUUUUUAAAAAAGCAUUGCAUAUAUCAAGGAUAUUCACUCUUUGCCUUACUUUAUGUAUAUAUUAUCUUUUUCAUGACUCUUUUUAUGUAAAAGUUUGUAUUUUAAAUUAAAAUUUUUAAUUUUCCCAAUUCAAACCAAAGUUCCCUAUGGUCUAAUGCUCAAAAUAAUCUGCCACAUUCUAACAUAAAUACUUAUAGUUUGUUUUUCAUAGUUAAAAAUUGUAAUACGUCUGAAAUUUAUUCUAAUGCCAGAGUUUAAGACAUCUGAACAUAUUUUUUUUCUUUCAGUUAGUGAGACACCUGACCCAAUAGCAUUUAUUGAAUAAUUAAUUUUUUUCUCAUUGAUAUAUACUCGGUAUGAUUGUGGUCUUUGAAUCCUUUCAUAUUAAUUUAUCUCUAUAUUCUACCCUCAUAAUUAUACUGCUUUAAUUACUGUAGCUAUAUUAUAUAUUUUAAUAUCUUAAAGAAUGGCUGUUAAUGCAUUCUUUAUAUUAAAAGUUGCAACUCAAAUUUUAGAAAUUGCAACGCAUACUAGCUGAAACAAACAGUUCAAGCUCAUAGAAUCUAAGAAAGGUUUGACAACCUUGCUUUGAUACUUCCAUCAAGGCAGCAAGGACUCAAGAACAAGGGAAACUGGAAGGAAACCCUAAGGCCCUUCCUCCCUGGACGUACCAGCCUCAUUUUCUCACUAUUCUUAUUGUCAGGGUGGGAAACAUGGCUAUUGACGGCUUUUAGUUUAAGGCUUUAACUCUCAGAUUGAAACUAAUUUCAAAUUCUGUCUAUGGGCUGGUUAGAAUUUUCUGGCAAGGAACAUAUUAGCUCAGCUCAGGUUUGGCAUCCACCAUUUUACAUAGUCCAUGCAGACAAGUACCUGUGAGGAUGAUUAUGUCCUUGGUGGAAACUUUGUAAUGAGUUUUGAAAUGCAUUAGUAGGUUCAUAAAUAUAAACAAAUUGUUUCGAAGUUAUGGUUAGAAUUGUGUUUGGUAAAAUAUUUUGACAAGGGAAAUGCAAAAUGUUUAAGUAAUUAUGACAAUGCUUUUGUUUUCUCUUGUUUUAAUGUUAUAUUAAGUUUGCUGUUUAAAAAGUGGGUCUGCACAAAUGGUUUAAGUGUGUGAAGUACAUGCUUGGUAUUGCUUAUGAAAGAGUGUCUUUAAGCUAUGUGAAUUUGUUUAGAAGUCCAGAAGUUUUUUAUGACAGAACAAUGGGCAGCCAUGACCUGGUCACAUAAAUCAGGCAUCCAGGCUCUACCUACAGUGGUGAGUAGUGAAGGAAAUACUUCCUACACAUAAAACUGGAAGAUUGGAAGAGGAAAUAGAGAUUCUUUUAUUUAUUUAUUACUGUAAAAUAGGUUGGUGCAAAAGUAAUUGUGGUUUUGCCAUUACUUUUAAUGACAUGCAAGAAAAUUCUGUUUUCAUCAAAUUAAAACAAGAAGUGAGAUUUAAUUAUGACUUCCAUUUUUACUAUCAUUCUAUGAUUCUUAACCUUCAGCAAGUCUUUCUAGCUCUCAUAGCAUUUGUUCACAGUCUAGUCUUUUUUCUUGUCAGUCUCACCUCCUAACCUGUCAGCUUCUUUAGGUCAGGGACUUUCUUAUUUCUCUUUGAGAGCUAAGAAGCAAAACACUGUUUUUAAACAUGUUGGUGCUCUAUACAUGCUUUUUAUAAAUAACUUAAAAAAUAAAGAUAGAAUAGAUAUAACAGAAUUUAGAGUGGACUAGAAACUAGGUUACUUAUUUUUAUAUGUUCAAGUAUUUUACAUAAUUACAUUUUAUAUGAAUUUUUUCCUUAGGCCUUUCUUUCUUUACUGUAGUUCUACCGGUUACUCAUAUGCUACAUACCUUGUAGAGAGUAUAACUCAUAUCUUCUUUUUCUAUUGAACUGAGGCAUUUUUUUCUCCCUGAAGUGUGUUCAUGGAAUAGACAAACUAAAUAUCAUGUAUUAAUCAACAGGUGUUUUAUGCAGGAUAUUAUUUCAUAGUAUAAUAUUUCAUAGUGG
rnacentral:lncRNA from 10 species